UACGUAGGAGACGAGCGUUGUCCGGAAUUACUGGGCGUAAAGCGCGUGUAGGCGGGUGCGCAAGUCCGCUGUGAAAGCUCCUGGCUUAACCGGGAGUGGUCGGUGGAAACUGCGGGCCUGGAGGACGGUAGAGGUAGGUAGAAUUCCCGGUGUAGUGGUGAAAUGCGUAGAGAUCGGGAGGAAUACCUGUAGCGAAGGCGGCCUACUGGGCCGGACCUGACGCUGAGACGCGAAGGCGUGGGGAGCGAACGGG
rnacentral:rRNA from 1 species